GGUGCAAUGGCCGAGCGGUCUAAGGCGCUGGAAUUAGGCUCCAGUCCGAAAGGGCGUGGGUUCAAAUCCCACUUGCACCA
rfam:Nosema bombycis CQ1 unplaced genomic scaffold NBO_63, whole genome shotgun sequence.